AAUAGAUACCCAGGUAGUCCACGCCGUAAACGAUGGAUACUAGCUGUUCGGCGUAAGCUGAGUGGCUAAGCGAAAGUGAUAAGUAUCCCACCUGGGGAGUACGAACGCAAGUUUGAAACUCAAAGGAAUUGACGGGGGCCCGCACAAGCGGUGGAGCAUGUGGUUUAAUUCGAUGAUACGCGAGGAACCUUACCAGGGCUUAAAUGUAGAUUGACAGGUUUAGAGAUAGACUUUUCUUCGGACAAUUUACAAGGUGCUGCGUGGUUGUCGUCAGCUCGUGCCGUGAGGUGUCAGGUUAAGUCCUAUAACGAGCGCAACCCCUGUUGUUAGUUGCCAGCGAGUCAAGUCGGGAACUCUAACAAGACUGCCAGUGCAAACUGUGAGGAAGGUGGGGAUGACGUCAAAUCAUCACGGCCCUUACGUCCUGGGCUACACACGUGCUACAAUGGUAGGGACAGAGAGCAGCCACUUCGCGAGAAAGAGCGAAUCUAUAAACCCUAUCACAGUUCGGAUCGGAGUCUGCAACUCGA
rnacentral:rRNA from 1 species